UACGUAGGUGGCAAGCGUUGUCCGGAAUUAUUGGGCGUAAAGCGCGCGCAGGCGGUCCUUUAAGUCUGAUGUGAAAGCCCACGGCUCAACCGUGGAGGGUCAUUGGAAACUGGGGGACUUGAGUGCAGGAGAGAAGAGUGGAAUUCCACGUGUAGCGGUGAAAUGCGUAGAGAUGUGGAGGAACACCAGUGGCGAAGGCGAC
rnacentral:rRNA from 1 species